UUCAUCAAGUGGUAGCUGAACCAACGAGGGGGGGGGCAUUUUAGAUUUGAUUCUGGUGAGUAGUGAGGACCUCAUUGAGGAAGUGGUAAUAGGGGACAAUUUGGGCUCCAGUGAUCAUGAGCUAAUUCGGUUUAAACUACAUGGAAGGAGUAACAGAAUUAAGUCAAAGACUAGGGUUUAUAAUUUUAAAAAGGCCAAUUUUAACAAAUUAAGGGGACUGGUAAGGGAAGUGGAUUGGGCAAACGUAUUAAUGGAUCUAAAGGCAGAAGAAGCCUGGGAUUACUUCAAAUUAAAGAUGCAUGAGCUGUCGGAGGCAUGUAUCCCAAAAAAGGGAAAAAGAUUACUAAGCAAGAGAUUUAGACCGAGCUGGAUGAGCAACCGACUCAAAGGGGCGAUUAGGAAAAAACAGAAAGCGUACAAAGAGUGGAAGAGGGGAGGGAUCAGUAAGGAAACUUACCUUAGUGAAGUCAGAGAAUGUAGAGAUAGAGUGAGAAAGGCCAAAGGCCGUGUGGAGUUGGACCUAGCGAGGGGAAUUAAAAGCAAUAGUAAGAGGUUUUACAGCCAUAUAAAUAGGAAGAAAGCAAAGAAAGAAGAAGUGGGACUGCUGAAGACUAUUACCGGAGAGGAGAUUAAAGACAAUCUAGGCAUGGCGCAAUAUCUCAAUGAAUAUUUUGCAUCGGUGUUUAAUGAAGCCAAUGAAGGUAUUAGGGAUACUAGCACCAUUACAGAGGGGCAUUCAGGAUGGGGGAUUACCGUAUCCGAGGUAGAAACAAAACUUGAACACCUUAAUGGGGUUAAGUCGGGAGGACCGGACGAUCUUCAUCCGAGAAUAUUGAAGGAAUUGGCGCGGGAAAUAGCAGGCCCAUUAGAGAUAAUAUUUAAUGAAUCUGUAAACUCAGGGGUGGUCCCGUUAGACUGGAGAAUAGCUAAUGCGGUUUCUAUUUUUAAGAAAGGGAAAAAAAGUGAUCCGGGUAACUACAGGCCUGUUAGUUUAACAUCUGUAGUGGGCAAGGUGUUAGAGAAAAUUCUGAAAGAGAAACUAGUUGAGGACCUGGAGGUUAAUGGCAAUUGCGAUAAAUUACAACAUGGUUUUACGAAGGGCAGAUCGUGCCAAACGAAUCUGAUCUCCUUCUUUGAGAAAGUAACGGACUUAUUAGAUAAGGGAAAUGCGGUGGACCUAAUAUACCUGGAUUUCAGUAAAGCAUUUGAUACUGUACCCCAUGAGGAAUUAUUGGUUAAAAUGUAAUAACAGGAGGAUCGAUAUGAAAAUCCAGAGGUGGAUAAGGAAUUGGUUACUGGGGAGAAUGCAGCGGGUGGUAUUAAAGGGUNNNNNNNNNNNNNNNNNNNNNNNNNNNNNNNNNNNNNNNNNNNNNNNNN
rnacentral:lncRNA from 1 species